AUUGAACGCUGGCGGCAGGCCUAACACAUGCAAGUCGAGCGAGCGGCGGACGGGUGAGUAAUGUAUGGGGAUCUGCCUGAUGGAGGGGGAUAACUACUGGAAACGGUGGCUAAUACCGCAUACCAUCGGAUGUACCCAGAUGGGAUUAGCUAGUAGGUGGGGUAAUGGCUCACCUAGGCGACGAUCUCUAGCUGGUCUGAGAGGAUGAUCAGCCACACGUGAACUGAGACACGGUCCAGACUCCUACGGGAGGCAGCAGUGGGGAAUAUUGCACAAUGGGCGCAAGCCUGAUGCAGCCAUGCCGCGUGUAUGAAGAAGGCCUUCGGGUUGUAAAGUACUUUCAGCGGGGAGGCGUUACCCGCAGAAGAAGCACCGGCUAACUCCGUGCCAGCAGCCGCGGUAAUAC
rnacentral:rRNA from 1 species